UGGGGAAUUUUGGACAAUGGGCGAAAGCCUGAUCCAGCAAUGCCGCGUGUGUGAAGAAGGCCUUCGGGUUGUAAAGCACUUUUGUCCGGAAAGAAAUCCUUGGCUCUAAUACAAUCGGGGGGAUGACGGUACCGGAAGAAUAAGCACCGGCUAACUACGUGCCAGCAGCCGCGGUAAUACGUAGGGUGCAAGCGUUAAUCGGAAUUACUGGGCGUAAAGCGUGCGCAGGCGGUUUGCUAAGACCGAUGUGAAAUCCCCGGGCUCAACCUGGGAACUGCAUUGGUGACUGGCAGGCUAGAGUAUGGCAGAGGGGGGUAGAAUUCCACGUGUAGCAGUGAAAUGCGUAGAGAUGUGGAGGAAUACCGAUGGCGAAGGCAGCCCCCUGGGCCAAAUACUGACGCUCAUGCACGAAAGCGUGGGGAGCAAACAGGAUUAGAUACCCUGGUAGUCCACGCCCUAAACGAUGUCAACUAGUUGUUGGGGAUUCAUUUCCUUAGUAACGUAGCUAACGCGUGAAGUUGACCGCCUGGGGAGUACGGUCG
rnacentral:rRNA from 1 species